CUCAGUUUCUCAAUGAAGUUGUACGAAAUCCACAGCUCUUCUAGCGUAUCUCCAACUGCUUCCUGGAAAAUGACAGAGCUACUCAGGAUCUUCCUCUAGCUGAUGCUCAGAAGCUACGACUCCUAGAGUGGCUCUUCAUUUUAUUUUGGGGAACUCGGAAGCAUUUUCAGAAGUAAUAAGCUGGACUUCUGAGAGCACAUUAUUCUACUGACUUUAUUCUCUUGCCAUCUUGGAGCAUAAUCUGGGCACUGUCACCUCUGACAGUGAAAUUCAACUGAAUUCAAGGCCAUUAGAAAUUACUGCACUGAAAAAUGUGGUCUAACAC